rnacentral:rRNA from 1 species
AUUGAACGCUGGCGGCAUGCCUUACACAUGCAAGUCGAACGGCAGCACGGGAGCAAUCCUGGUGGCGAGUGGCGAACGGGUGAGUAAAGUAUCGGAACGUGCCCAGUCGUGGGGGAUAACGUAGCGAAAGUUACGCUAAUACCGCAUACGAUCUAUGGAUGAAAGCGGGGGAUCGCAAGACCUCGCGCGAUUGGAGCGGCCGAUAUCAGAUUAGGUAGUUGGUGGGGUAAAGGCUCACCAAGCCGACGAUCUGUAGCUGGUCUGAGAGGACGACAGCCACACUGGGACUGAGACACGGCCCAGACUCCUACGGGAGGCAGCAGUGGGGAAUUUUGGACAAUGGGCGAAAGCCUGAUCCAGCCAUGCCGCGUGCAGGAUGAAGGCCUUCGGGUUGUAAACUGCUUCUGUACGGAACGAAAAGGUUUGGGCUAAUAAGCUGAGCUCAUGACGGUACCGUAAGAAUAAGCACCGGCUAACUACGUGCCAGCAGCCGCCGUAA